rfam:Lactobacillus casei ATCC 334, complete genome.
UUUGGACAGGCUGUCAGGACGAUCUAUUGUCCGUUCUGGCUAAUGAAAAAGCAAAAAC